GUUUCUUGGAGCGGGAGUGGGGAAAUAUUCGGUCGGGCGGAGCGCUGAGGUUUGGGUGGGUGGUGGUCGUCGAAAGGAGAGAGCUCGAUCAAGCUAGCUUAGGAAGGCAGCUCAAGCACAAAGGCAAAGCACACAAAUCUGGUUCAAAAGGUUACCGAGGGGAGCCACUGCGACAACGGGGGCGCCGGCGGCGGCGGCGGGGUCCGGAGCAGCAGAGGAAGCCGCUCUACAACUAGCUGAAGCACGGGCUGCAACGGCCGCAGAGCGAGCGGCUCAGGCCGCCGAAACAGUUCCGCGGGCCUCCGCGCGGGCGGUUGCAGCGGACGCGGUAGAGGUUCGAGCCGCCGAGGAGGCGGAAGUAGCCUUUCAAACCGCUGCUGCUCAAGCCGGUGUACGACCACCUCUAGGAUUUCGUCUUGCCGCACUUACGGCUCCCGACGGACAAGCUGGUCGUGCGGGCGUGACGGGACCGGAAGCAGUGCGAGUUCAGGUUGCCGCUCGCGCUCAAGUACAAGAUGGCGUUGGGCAGCCGGCUGUACGAGGAGUGGCUCCGGCUCGACUUGGACCUGGACUAGGCGGCGCGGGCGUAGAAGGUGAUGCCGAGGUAGAGCGAGUAGUGGCUCGGGACGGCGAGCCGCGUGCAGCGACGGUACGCGCGGCGGUUCAGUUGGCCGUAGGAGACGAGCAUGCUGGGAUUGCAUGCGGACGGCGAGACCGGGAGACGGGUCCGGCGGGCGCUGCCAUAGUACUCGUAGACCUUCCUCCGGCUGAAGUAGUUCCAUUCGCUGCUACUCCACCGGAAGGAGUGGGUCCCGCUGCGGUGGCUGCUCUUCUUGCACAACAGGGAGACCAAGCUCCCUGAGUUCGACGAGUAGCAGUGGCUGCCGCUCUUCCCCACGUCCAUGAAGUGGUUCCUGAAGUUCCCGAGGCACGGGCCGAUGAGACAGUUGUGGCAGCUGUGGUGGCCGCGGCCCCUGCGGAAGCAGCCCAGGGAGGAGCAGUCGCAGAGGUUCCUGCUGAGGUAGAAGAUGUUACUCCGGUUCGACUCCCUCCACGACGUCAAGAGCUUGCGAACGCCGCGGUAGACGUGGUGGUUCUUCCCUCGGUAGGGCCGCGACGGGUGGUGGCGGUGGCGGGACCUCGAGUAGUCGUUCCCGUCGUUGAUCUCUGCGUAACACAGCGCGGCGGUCAGCCCCAACUUAGAAUCCCCUCAAAUCGACGUGAAAAUAAUAAUCCCUACUCAGCUCAAAUCAAGCACACAGUUCACGCACUGGAGCACCCGCGAAUUAUUUUUCGUUCGUACACACCACUAAAACCAACGCCAGAAACACAUUCCUCCGAUGACUAACAACAUCGGAAGUGGGUUUUGAGUAAAUAGCUUCAGAAAUUACUUACCUGUUCAAAUAG
rnacentral:rRNA from 1 species